GACGAACGCUGGCGGCGUGCUUAACACAUGCAAGUCGAACGGAAAGGCCCUGCUUUUGUGGGGUGCUCGAGUGGCGAACGGGUGAGUAACACGUGAGUAACCUGCCCUUGACUUUGGGAUAACUUCAGGAAACUGGGGCUAAUACCGGAUAGGAGCUCCUGCUGCAUGGUGGGGGUUGGAAAGUUUCGGCGGUUGGGGAUGGACUCGCGGCUUAUCAGCUUGUUGGUGGGGUAGUGGCUUACCAAGGCUUUGACGGGUAGCCGGCCUGAGAGGGUGACCGGCCACAUUGGGACUGAGAUACGGACCAGACUCCUACGGGAGGCAGCAGUGGGGAAUAUUGCACAAUGGGCGGAAGCCUGAUGCAGCAACGCCGCGUGCGGGAUGACGGCCUUCGGGUUGUAAACAGCUUUCGCCUGUGACGAAGCGUGAGUGACGGUAAUGGGUAAAGAAGCACCGGCUAACUACGUG
rnacentral:rRNA from 1 species